rfam:Salmo salar isolate Sally breed double haploid chromosome ssa16, whole genome shotgun sequence.
GCCUCGUUGGCGCAGCAGGCAGGGCGUCAGUCUCAUAAUCUGAAGGUCGUGAGUUCGAUCCUCACACGGGGCA